UCAAAGGAAUUGNGGGGGGCCCGCACAAGCGGUGGAGCAUGUGGUUUAAUUNGAAGCAACGGGAAGAACNUUACCAGGUNUUGACAUCCCGCUGACCGCUCUGGAGACAGAGCUUCCCUUCGGGGCAGCGGUGACAGGUGGUGCAUGGUNGUCGUCAGCUCGUGUCGUGAGAUGUUGGGUUAAGUCCCGCAACGAGCGCAACCCUUAUCUUUANUUGCCAGCAUUCAGUUGGGCACUUUAGAGAGACUGCCGUCGACAAGACGGAGGAAGGCGGGGAUGACGUCAAAUCAUCAUGCCCCUUAUGACNUGGGCUACACACGUGCUACAAUGGUUGGUACAACGGGAUGCUACCUCGCGAGAGGACGCCAAUCUCUGAAAACCAAUCUCAGUUCGGAUUGUAGGCUGUAACUCGCCUACAUGAAGUCGGAAUCGCUAGUAAUCGCGGAUCAGCAUGCCGCGGUGAAUACGUUCCCGGNCCUUGUAUCACACCGCCCGUCACAGCCACGGGAGUUUGCAACACCCGAAGUCGGUGAGGUAACCGCAAGGAGGCCAGCCCCCCGAAGGUGGGGUAUGAUGA
rnacentral:rRNA from 1 species